rnacentral:lncRNA from 1 species
CCAAAAUUUGCUCAUUUAUUUUCUUUACAUUAAGAUCUCUGGUUCUUACCAGUGGGUCAUUUCAAACUCUAUCUCUGCUUCCCCCAGCUAGGGAUAGAAAGCCACUAUUACAGACAGGGGCUGCAUCCUUCAGGUGCUUUCUGCAGAAAUGAGCUCAAUAACCACUGAAGACAGAUGUUAAUGAUGUCUGUUUUAAGGCAAAUUAUUUGGAGACGAGGGUAACCAAGUGGAGCUGAAUGACACUGGAUGGUAAUAACUUAAUUUGCCUCAGUGACAGUUCAUCAGGUCCUUUCACUUCCAUUUUCUCAUCUGACCAUCAUGACCUUAUGGUGUAAGUAAAAAUGAUUACUUCCCUUUUUUCUUUUCUUCAGAGGGGAAAUCUGGGUUUGGAGCAGCUAUACCAUAUAUCUAAGGUCAAACACCUAAGAGGAACUUUUAACUUGGGUCAUUUAAGUGCAAGUGCCUUGUUUUCGCCAUUUUGCCAAGGACAUGGGGCUCAAGUUUGGGUGUGCACCUGGCUUGCAGCAGAACUGGCUGGGAUGGCUUCAUAACUUCCCUUCUAACAAUAUAACAAUAUGCUUCUGUAAAUUUUCACACUGAAUUGGACAAGAAUCAGAAUAUCCUGUUUUGAACAUCUGCACAGAUUGACAAACAAAAAUGGAACAUCAAGACUGACUGGAAAUGGUGAUGUGAAAUUCAUUAAAUGCUCUUGCAAUUGCCAGAGGUGCCAAGACUGAGGCUCAGAGAAAUGAAAUAACAUGCCAAAGGUCACAGUGUCUAGUGGAGCUGGGGCCAAAUUCAGAUUAAUAACACACAGGAAAAACCCUCAACUUCUUUCAUUCGCCUGUUGAGAUAAAGGGAAAGAGAGUCCCCAUCCAGGCCUGCAGGAGAGGGAGAACUGGUGGAUGCAAAUGAAAAAGCAGAGGCAUUCCUCAGCUCUUUUAUCCCAGAGAUUAUAGUGCUGGAGUUGGAAGAAGAUGGGAGAAACAUAUGAGGAGAGAAGGAAGUCGAGCUCAUACCAUGAUGAAGAAGAUAACUCCUGAAGAUUGGGAAGGGCACUGGCUGGCUCUCAAAGAUGGACAAAUGGCUUUACGACGCUUAAGGGGAUGCUCUGUGGAGUCUGCUUGGGUGCAAAUCACCACCAUGACACACUACCCAUGGUACCGUUUUUCAGCCCCAGCCAUCACUUCAUCCUUUGCUCUGUAGCUUUCUUCAUUUGUUGGGAGAGAGGCUAUUCUUUUACUUGAACUUAGUGGGAGCUCAUUUUGCAAAGAUACAUGCUUCACCAUCCCCUGAAAGAUUUAUAUAGAAGGACACUGUGGCAACAUGUGACCUUUUGAAACUGCUCCCUUGGAAGGAAUUCUAAUGUCCUCCUGUCUAUGUUACCUGCUGUGUACCUACCACUGGGGAAAGAUGCUGAAAAUUUAAUGAAUUGCAGAAAAGCUGUGCAAGCUUCUCUUUUGGAAGAACCUUGGAGAAGAGAGAGGCUGACAGAAAGAAAACUUUCAAAGAAAUUACACUGCCCUCAAGGGUGGCAUCUACAGAGGACAGUGACAGGGCCUUGGAGACGUAUGAUUUCUUCUGCUGCUCAUUUACCUAGGUCUGUUUUCACUCUGGUGACUGGCCACAAUCAUGGGAAAAGUGAAGAAAUCUGAUAACUAUCAAGGUACAAAUUGCUAGAGAAAGAAAAUCGGGACUCUUACAACUAAGGGCUAAUUGAUGUGGAGAUGGAAGGUUUGUGGUGCUAUGUUUUGCAUGUGCCUCUGUGUGUGUUUGUGUGUGUAUAUAUAGGAGGGUAGGAGGUAGAAGAAUUCACAGUACAACCUAAUAAUCUGGGCCAUGGACCCAGCCAAAGAAGCGGGGACAGGGGUUGAAUGGAGAAGCACAUGGGACCAGAUGUACAAUGUAUCUGGAAAACAGACACAUAUACCGCAUCCAGGGAAUAACUGCAAACAGUCAAAUAACAUAUUUUGUAUUCAACCACUGACACAGAAAUUCAUGCACAAUGUAUUUUAUUUUUUAGUGGAAGAGAGAGAACUAUGCCACCCCUUUAAGGUAUGAUGCCAUUCUUAGAAAUAAAUAUUCGUAUAGAGAAAACUAUCUGAAAGGAUAGAUGUCAAAAUGUUUACAUAAGAGAUUAUUUCCGGAUGUAAGAAUUAGAGGGGAAUUUUAUAUUUUUUAUUUUUUGUGUAUGUACAGUUUCUAAUUUUCCUACAUUUAGUAUGUAAAAAGGAAAAAAAAGUAGCACAUUUUUAGAAAAGAAUUCUAAAUUUCUUUUAUAAAUAUCACUAAGGAAACAGAUUUGAUUUGGGCAAAGGGAAGAAGAGAUUAGAAUAGGGGUUGGCAAACUACGACCCUCUGAGCUAAAUCUGGCCUGCCACCUGUUUUUGUAAAUAAAGUUUCAUUGGAAUACAACCACUUCUUUCAUUUAUAUACUACAAACAUGGAGUUUAGCAGUUGUGACAAAGACCCUACGACCUACAAAGCCAAAUGGCUCUCCUAUCUGGUCCUUUACAAAAAAAGUUUGCCUAAACCCAGUUUAGAAGAAUCCUCCUAAUAUGGUCUUACCUAUUUUACCUUACUAGUUGUGUGAGCUUAGGGAAGUCAUAACUUUCACACCUCAGGUUCCUCAUGUGUAAUGAGAUGGAUAACACAUCUUAGACAUUUUAUGAAAAUUAAAUGAUUUAAUACAUAAAUGGUGCUAAACACUGUGUUUGGCAUAUAGUAGAUGCUCAAUAAAUAUUAUGCUCCUACUUAUUUUCUACUUCCUUUAAAUAAAAUGCAUUAUUCUGAUUUCAUGGCAAAUCUAAUGAAACUGCCAUUUUUGCUAGUCAAAAUUGUUCAAUAUUGGCAAUUUUAUAUGGCUCAAUGUAAUCAUACUUUAGCCAUUUACUAUUCUCAUUGCUCUUGUUUAAGUUGUAAUUGCUGAGCUUGUAUCUAUCAAUGUCACCAAGGUAGUUUUAGGGUUAGCUAAAUUGCCACAAACGGCUGGAAACCAAAAUCUAUUAAUAGCAUUGUUCUAUCCAAAUGUGGACACUUUGGGUGUAUGAAACAAAACACUGUAUUUGUAUUUCACUUUGUUACUUGUGUAACACAGGGAAAUCUGCAUUCAAUGCACCUAUGGUGUGACAGAUUAGGGCCUCUUUCCUGCUGCCCUAAAUAGAAGCUUUUUAGAUAAAGGAUAUUUGCUUCCACCCUACAAAACAGCACCUGACUUAAAUUUCAGCAGACUCAGUGAGCUUUCACAGCACUGCGACAAUCACUCUUGGCACUGAGCAAAGUUCUGACACAGUCUACCACAACAUCCUGGGAAGAACUGCUGAAGGGAACAUGGGGCUCAGGAUGCUACAAAAUUUGGAGACUGUCAUUCAAUCGCACUUGAAGAUGAUAUUCUGGGGCUUAGUGCAGAUCCAAAAUAGGAGUUCUUUAAAAAAGUAAAAUGGGGUUUCUCCAAGAACAAGACAGGAAGACCGACUGGAACAUCAAUGGAAUGUAAGUGUAAGAAGUUGCAGAUAGGGAAGUAUAGGAUGAGCUUCAUGAAAAGGAGGCAAAAUCAGGAAACUGAAAGACUAAUCAAAGUAUUCUUAUCAACAGAAAUGAAGAAAGGCUUUUAGUUCAGUGCUAAGACUAUCAAAGGAAGAACAAACCCAAUUUAAUCCAAUCAACACUUAUUAAAUGCCUACUUUAUGCCAGGCACUGGGUUAACACAGCUAGAGAUAGUAAGAUAAAUCAGACACAAUUUCUACCUUAGAGAAGUUUCUGGGCUGGUGGGAGGGAGAUAAACAUGGAACCAAAUAACUUUAAUAUCGUGAUAAAUGUUAUAAUACUAACAAUAAUAGCUGUCAUUUAUUAAUUGUGUAAAAUGUAAAGCAAACACAGAAUGGAAAAAUUAGUUUUGCUUGGAGAGGUCCAGAGAGGGUAGGGAGGAGGGGAAUAAUUACAGUCAGCACCUGAAAAUGACCAAAAGUUCACGAAGCUAAUACUGAGGCAAGAAUGAGAGUGAUGUGCUGUGGUUUCAGGACAGGAUGGAUUGUUGUAAUGGUUAAAAUGAAGCUGACGAAAAACCUCAUAAGCCAAACUUAGGAAUUGUGACGUUAUUCAGUAGGCAUUAAUUCUCAAUAAGCAGGAAGCAGUUUGGUUCAGUCCGGUUUAAAAAAGACAAGAGAAUACUUUCCUAGAGAGCCAUGAGGCAGGAUCAUAGGAAGAAGAGAGACUAAAUGGUUCUGUCUGUGAAAAUUUAGACCAGAAAAGUGGCAGUAAGAAGAGAGAAGAGGAGAUGGAUACAGGAUGCAGCAUGUCUUCAAACUGAAAUGCAAAAGUGGAGGGAGACAUUCUGAAGACCCAGAGGAGAAACAGAUGAAAAGAACUGUGGUGUGGGAGGAGCAAGGGACGGUAGGCAAGGAGAAGACCACAGUUAGGUCACUGGCCUUGGGAAAGGGAACAUCUUUUUUUCCUCGACCAGCCUGGGCAACACGGUGAAAACCUGCCUCUACAAAUAAAAAUACAAAAAAAUUUGGCCAAGUGUGGUAGUGUGCGCCUGUAGUCCCAGGUACUCGGGAGGCUGUGUGUGGAGGCUCUGGGGCUUGUGCCCAGGGUAUCGAGGCUGCAGUGAGCCGUGAUGUCACAUGUCACGUCUCAUUAAAGGGUAUUGAAUGAUACCCAAGAGAGGAAAAAUCUGAUUUCCUUAGCCUGGCCCUCAAAGCAUUCUGUAAUGUAGCUCACAACCUAUUCUUCUGAUCCAUUUUCACCUCCUUUAUUCUUCCCUCCUGAGGGUAUAGAUACCCAAAUGUCUUCGGGACUCAGGCGGGUAACACACAAGGGGGUGAAGUGGCAGGGUCUGAGGCCCUGAAGUGGUGAGUCCAUGGCUCACAGGACGUUAUAUUUUCUUUUUAAAUUCACUGAGAGGCAAACAACAUAUAUACACACAGAGAUUUUAGAAGUUUAACGUUUAUCUUGAGAGGCUUUACCUUCUAAAAUUCUACACAGCAUCAAUCCAGCCUUCUCUAAGCAGACUUCCCAGUCAACCAGGCUUAUAGACAAGAGUUC